GGGGUGGAAAAUAUCAAACCUACAAAACUACUCAAGACCUGAUCAUCAGUGUGAUUUUUGUCUGUCCUGGUCAUCAGUCUCUACACAUCAGUCAGCAGGAAAUGGCAAACAACAGAAGUCUAAUAAGUGCUCAGGAAAAAUGCCAUAUGGUAUGUGCAUCGUCACAAAAAAUACCAUGAGCUCUAAACUCUGCAAAUGUCUUCAUGCCACAGGGAUGCACAGCCUCCAUGAGCAAAAAAAAACCUGAACCAUCUGUCAUUAAUGAAGAAAGUAUCUCGGCCUGGUUCUUCAUAGUGGUGGCAAGCAAAAGAAAACCAAACCCUUCGUUGUUAACUGCAUGUAGAAAACUAUUGAGAACAGCUCUGGCAGAAUUUUAGUGUUUAAGAACUGCAAAGGACAGGUUAACUAUGAGAUUAUUGCACCACAAAAUCAAAUUGAAAAGCACCCAGUGUAAUUCCAGCAUAGACCACCCACCUUCCACUGCCAAGGAGUCUUUUGCUGGAGUCACUGAUUUUUCAGAUGAUUGCACGCUGAGGAUAACUUAUUUCUCCAGUGAGAUCCUGAUGCAACGUAUAAGGAGAAAAAAUGGGCAAUAAAUGGUGUAUGUCAGCUCCUCAACAGGAAACUGUGUACAGAAACACCACGGAUCUUGCAAUUUUAUGAGGACAAUGCAACUCCUGUGCUUGACAGAUGCCUGCAAAAUUUCAUCACACCUUUGUGAGGACCUCUUUGGGUCUUCAAGAGAGAAGGUUUCAGCCUCUCAGGAGCAAAGAUUUAUAUCCAAGGAGUUCUAUUGGCCCUGCACCAACGAUUAAAGUCUGCAAACUGUUGCAAGCAGCCCUUUCUGUGUAAAACUACACUGAAGAUUGCCUUCAAACUCAAGGACAAAUCAAAAAUUGAGAAGUGUCAUUAGGAUCCAUCCAUAAAAAUCAAAUAUUGGUUUUUCCUGACGUCUACAAUCGAUAAAAAAGAAGUAAGAGCAGCUCGUUCCCGGUUUCUCGAAAGGAGCAGUGAGGAGCUGCUUAUUCUGCCCCCAAACAGAAUUUUGCCACGAUUCAGUCCUCCCUCCUUGUUGCUGCCAGCCUGCUUUCUGCCAAAGUGUUUGGGACAAAGGAAAAACACCCC